rnacentral:rRNA from 1 species
UUGGGGCCCGGGGGGGGCUUACCUAUUCAUGCAAGUCGAGCGGACAGAAGGGAGCUUGCUCCCGGAUGUUAGCGGCGGACGGGUGAGUAACACGUGGGUAACCUGCCUGUAAGACUGGGAUAACUCCGGGAAACCGGAGCUAAUACCGGAUAGUUCCUUGAACCGCAUGGUUCAAGGAUGAAAGACGGUUUCGGCUGUCACUUACAGAUGGACCCGCGGCGCAUUAGCUAGUUGGUGAGGUAACGGCUCACCAAGGCGACGAUGCGUAGCCGACCUGAGAGGGUGAUCGGCCACACUGGGACUGAGACACGGCCCAGACUCCUACGGGAGGCAGCAGUAGGGAAUCUUCCGCAAUGGACGAAAGUCUGACGGAGCAACGCCGCGUGAGUGAUGAAGGUUUUCGGAUCGUAAAGCUCUGUUGUUAGGGAAGAACAAGUGCAAGAGUAACUGCUUGCACCUUGACGGUACCUAACCAGAAAGCCACGGCUAACUACGUGCCAGCAGCCGCGGUAAUACGUAGGUGGCAAGCGUUGUCCGGAAUUAUUGGGCGUAAAGGGCUCGCAGGCGGUUUCUUAAGUCUGAUGUGAAAGCCCCCGGCUCAACCGGGGAGGGUCAUUGGAAACUGGGAAACUUGAGUGCAGAAGAGGAGAGUGGAAUUCCACGUGUAGCGGUGAAAUGCGUAGAGAUGUGGAGGAACACCAGUGGCGAAGGCGACUCUCUGGUCUGUAACUGACGCUGAGGAGCGAAAGCGUGGGGAGCGAACAGGAUUAGAUACCCUGGUAGUCCACGCCGUAAACGAUGAGUGCUAAGUGUUAGGGGGUUUCCGCCCCUUAGUGCUGCAGCUAACGCAUUAAGCACUCCGCCUGGGGAGUACGGUCGCAAGACUGAACUCAAGGGAAUUGACGGGGGCCCGCACAAGCGGUGGAGCAUGGUGGUUUAAUUCGGAAGCAACGCGGAGGACCUUACCAGUCUUGACAUCCUCUGACACCUUAGAGGAUAGGGCUUUCCUUUCGGGACAGAUUGACAGGUGGUUGCAUGGGUUUGUUCG